UACGUAGGUGGCGAGCGUUGUCCGGAAUUACUGGGUGUAAAGGGAGCGUAGGCGGGAACGCAAGUUGAAUGUGAAAACUAUGGGCUCAACCGAUAGUUGCGUUCAAAACUGCGAAUCUUGAGUGAAGUAGAGGCAGGCGGAAUUCCUAGUGUAGCGGUAAAAUGCGUAGAUAUUAGGAGGAACACCAGUGGCGAAGGCGGCCUGCUGGGCUUUAACUGACGCUGAGGCUCGAAAGUGUGGGGAGCAAACAG
rnacentral:rRNA from 1 species